rnacentral:snRNA from 1 species
GUGGUCGCUUUGGCAGCACGUGUACUAAACUUGGAACAAUACAGAGAUUAGCAUGGCCCCAGCGCAACAAUGACUUGCAAAUUUGUGAAGCAUUCGUUCCUUUU